AGCAGCCGCGGUAAUUCCAGCUCCAAUAGCGUAUAUUAAAGUUGUUGCAGUUAAAAAGCUCGUAGUUGAAUUUCGGGGUCAGUAGUCUGGUCGUGCCACUGGUAUGUACUGGGCUCACUGAUUCCUCCUUCCUGAUGAACUGUAAUGCCAUUAAUUUGGUGUUGCAGGGAAACUGGACUGUUACUUUGAAAAAUUAGAGUGUUUAAAGCAGGCUAACGCUUGAAUACAUUAGCAUGGAAUAAUGAAAUAGGACGUUCGAUCCUAUUUCGUUGGUUUCUAGGAUUGACGUAAUGAUUAAUAGGGAUAGUUGGGGGCAUUAGUAUUCAAUUGUCAGAGGUGAAAUUCUUGGAUUUAUUGAAGACUAACUACUGCGAAAGCAUUUGCCAAGGAUGUUUUCAUUAAUCAAGAACGAAAGUUAGGGGAUCGAAGACGAUCAGAUACCGUCGUAGUCUUAACCAUAAACUAUCGCCGACGUAGGGAUCGGAUGAUUAGUUUUAAUUUUUUAAUGUACUCUAGUUCG
rnacentral:rRNA from 1 species